rnacentral:misc_RNA from 1 species
GUGAAUCAUCAAAUUUUUGAACGCAAAUUGCGCUUCCUGGCAUCCCGGGAAGUAUGCCUGUUUGAGGGUCAGUAUUAAUAAAAAAUCGGUUUAGUUACAAAUUGUGACGUUUCCGGAGUUUGGGCUAUCUUAACAUUUUUGGUUAAGAGGCUUAAAAUUGACCUUUUUUGCGCAUUUUUAAACGUACAUAAAUUUUUUUAAUGGGUUUAUUGUUAUUUUCAAAUUUUUUUUAGAUG